rnacentral:rRNA from 1 species
AGCAACCGCAUGGUUGCUACUUGAAAGAUGGUUCUGCUAUCACUAAGAGAUGGUCCCGCGGCGCAUUAGUUAGUUGGUGAGGUAAUGGCUCACCAAGACGAUGAUGCGUAGCCGAGUUGAGAGACUGAUCGGCCACAAUGGGACUGAGACACGGCCCAUACUCCUACGGGAGGCAGCAGUAGGGAAUCUUCCACAAUGGACGAAAGUCUGAUGGAGCAACGCCGCGUGUGUGAUGAAGGGUUUCGGCUCGUAAAACACUGUUGUAAGAGAAGAAUGACAUCAAGAGUAACUGCUUGGUGUGUGACGGUAUCUUACCAGAAAGGAACGGCUAAAUACGUGCCAGCAGCCGCGGUAAUACGUAUGUUCCAAGCGUUAUCCGGAUUUAUUGGGCGUAAAGCGAGCGCAGACGGUUUUUUAAGUCCGAAGUGAAAGCCCACAGCUUAACUGUGGAAGUGCUUUGGAAACUGGAUGACUUGAGUGCAGUAGAGGAGAGUGGAAUUCCAUGUGUAGCGGUGAAAUGCGUAGAUAUAUGGAGGAACACCAGUGGCGAAGGCGGCUCUCUGGACUGUAACUGACGUUGAGGCUCGAAAGUGUGGGUAGCAAACAGGAUUAGAUACCCUGGUAGUCCACACCGUAAACGAUGAGUGCUAGAUGUUUGGGGGUUUUCGCCCC